CCUCCUCUGGAGUUUUGCACCAAGCCUAGGAUAUGGCCAUUUAAGAUGCCAGACUCAAGAUUUCCUGCUGCAGAACACUUCUCUCUCCUUUCUAAUAAUGUGUUUCCCAACUGUUCCUGAAUGGGACACCUUGGAGACUGCUGGCACAGCUGGUUUACAUUUCCUUGGGGCUUUGAACCAGGGCAAGACAUGCAAGUUUUGGAAAGCGUGGAUGUCCAACCCUUUGGCUUGUCUAGGCCAAAAUGAGUAAAGAGGAAUAGUAUUGAGCUGCACAUACACACGUUGUUCAGAAAGAAAUGCCUCCUAUUUAUUUCCGUGGGCUCUGCGCACAUUCAGCAAGAGUCGAUGAAUGUGAAUGGGCGCCUUAUUUUUCUGCAUGGAGAAAUUCAAUUCCACACUUUUGCUCCAUCCACGUUUCCAUGUCAGA